UUUCAUCCGCUAUCAUUGUCUUACUACCUUAUGGUCGUUAUGUAUUUGUUUCCAUAUUAUUUCUUCAAGAUGGCAUUUAGUAGCUAAAAGGUUAAAAGAUCAUAUGCGAUAUAUACGUCGUAGAACAAACCAGUUGUCAGACUGUUUUCACGUGAGCGUAGGCGAAGUUGUGUUUAUUUGGUUAGAAUAACGAUUAACCAUCGUAACGGAAAAGUCACAAAAAAUGCCCAAAUUGGCUAAGCCACCUAAGCAGAAAAUAUAAAAUCCCCCUAAAUUGGCUAAUUAUCAACAUGGAAAAUGAAAUAUCUAUGACGGCAAUAUGUGUAAGAAUCAUAUGGUUAUAACGAAUCGGAUAAAAUAUGCCCGAUGGGAAGAAACUUAGAAACAAUGCAGAGAGCAAGGUACUUUAAAUACAAAAAAUAGUACAUUUUAUAGUCUUAGUUGUAUUAGAAAUAUUUCAAGGUUUUAUAUGUCCAAUUUAUUUUAAAUCUGUAUAUGAACGUGCGAUAGAUGCUGAUCAUGGAAACAUUACAUUAUGGCUAUAUUAUAUUGAAAUAGAAAUGCACAAUAAGUAAAUAAAUUAUGCCAGAAAUUUAUUAGAUCGUGCAGUCACAAUUUUACCUAGAAUAAAUUAAUUUUGAUACAAAAACACAUAUAUUAUGGAAGAAAUGUUAGAAAAUAUUAUUGGUAAGAUUUGAUAUAAAAUUAGGGAUUAUUUUUUAUUAUGUAACUUGAUUUUGUAAAGAUUUAUUAUAGAAACACGUCAAGUUUUUGGGCGAUGGAUGGAAUGGGAACCUGACUAACAGAUGUGGCAAACAUAUAUUAAAUUUGAAUUACAAUAUAAAGAAAUACCAAGAGCAAGGCAUUGAAGAUGUAAUAAUUAGCAAAAGAAAAUAUCAAUAUGAGCAAGAAGUCAAGGAAAAUUUUUCUAAUUAUGAUGUUUGGUUUGACUAUCUGAGAUUAGUAAAAUCUGAAGAAAAUCAUAAUGUUGUAAGAGCGUAUGAACGAGCAAUAGCAAAUGUCCCUUUUAUUAAGGAGCGUGGAAACGAUAUAUCUACCUGUACAUAAAUUAUGCUUUGUAUGAAGAAAUUGACACGGAAGUUAUAUAUAGAUGUCAUCAAAUUUACAGAAUCUGUUUAGAUCUUAUUCUACAUAAACAUUUCACAUUUUCUAAGAUAUGGCUAUGUUAUGCAUAUUUCGAAAUACAACAAAAAAAUUUGACUAGCGAGAAAAACAUUAGUAUGGUAUUGGGUGUUUAUCCCAAAGACAAAUUGUACUGUGGUUACAAUGAUUUAGAGACACAAUCUAGAGAAUUUGACAGAUGCAGGAUUCUGUAUGAAAAAUUACUUGAAUUUUCACCUCAAAACUGCACAACGUGAAUGAAAAAAAUACUAGACAACUAUUAGAGAGAUUAUUAGAACGAAAUGUUCAUGUCAAAGUAAGUGUGAUUUCAUCUUAAUGUUCAUGUCAAAUUCGUAGAAUUUAUGAACGUGGGAAUUGUGCAUUAUUUGCAAACAGUGACAAAGAAAGGAGAAUAUUACUUUUGAAAGCAUGAAGAGAUUUCGAAAAUGAGAAAGGAGACAGAGUUAGAUUAAAAUUAUUGUCAAAAUGCCUAGAAGAAUUAAACGAAGAAGACGAAUGGUUGAAGAAGGUAGAGUAUGUAGUUUUUAUAACAUACAUUAAAUAGUUUUGGAGAAAUUUAAAUUUAAAAAAAGUAUUCUUAAUUUAUAUUAAAAAUAAUCUAUAUUAAAUUAAAGAUAUUCGGCUUCGGGAAAAAGUAUUCGACUUCGUAUUCCCAGAAGACGAAUACCAAAGAGCAAAUCUUAACUUUUUGGCAUUAGCGAAAGCGUGGAUAAAGCAAAAAAUUUCUAGUGAAACUGCUCAAAAUAAAAAUUAACAAUUAGAAUCGGACAAUUAAAAAUAAUUUAUAUCUUUUAUAUUAUUAUUAUAUUUAUAUUCUGUAAAUAGGCAAUAUAAGUAUU